rnacentral:rRNA from 1 species
UACGUAGGGUGCGAGCGUUAAUCGGAAUUACUGGGCGUAAAGCGUGCGUAGGCGGUUCUCCAAGUCCGUUGUGAAAGCCCCGGGCUCAACCUGGGAAUGGCAGUGGAAACUAGGGGACUGGAAUCUGGCAGAGGGGGGUGGAAUGCCGCGUGUAGCAGUGAAAUACGUAGAGAUGCGGCGGAACACCGAUGGCGAAGGCAGCCCCCUGGGCUGAGAUUGACGCUCAGGCACGAAAGCGUGGGGAGCAAACAGG